GGAUGACUUGUGGCUGGGGGUGAAAGGCCAAUCAAACCGGGAGAUAGCUGGUUCUCCCCGAAAGCUAUUUAGGUAGCGCCUCGUGAACUCAUCUUCGGGGGUAGAGCACUGUUUCGGCUAGGGGGCCAUCCCGGCUUACCAACCCGAUGCAAACUACGAAUACCGAAGAAUGUUAUCACGGGAGACACACGGCGGGUGCUAACGUCCGUCGUGAAGAGGGAAACAACCCAGACCGCCAGCUAAGGUCCCAAAGUCAUGGUUAAGUGGGAAACGAUGUGGGAAGGCACAGACAGCCAGGAUGUUGGCUUAGAAGCAGCCAUCAUUUAAAGAAAGCGUAAUAGCUCACUGGUCGAGUCGGCCUGCGCGGAAGAUGUAACGGGGCUAAACCAUG
rnacentral:rRNA from 1 species